rnacentral:tRNA from 1 species
GGUAAAAUGGCUGACAAUAGGCAAUAAACUGUAAAUUUAUUUAUGAGAUUAGUCUCUUUUACUA